GACGUAGGGUCCAAGCGUUGUCCGGAUUUACUGGGCGUAAAGAGCGCGUAGGCGGCUCGUUACGUGUGACGUGAAAUCUCCAGGGCUCAACCCGGAAACUGCUUUACAUACUGGCGAGCUGGAGUGAUGAAGAGGUUUGUGGAAUUCCUGGUGUAGCGGUGAAAUGCGUUGAUAUCAGGAGGAACACCCAUGGCGAAGGCAGCAAACUGGUCAUCAACUGACGCUGAGGCGCGAAAGCGUGGGUAGCAAACAGG
rnacentral:rRNA from 1 species